rnacentral:rRNA from 1 species
GAUUCUGGCUCAGGAUGAACGCUAGCUACAGGCUUAACACAUGCAAGUCGAGGGGCAGCAUUGGGGUAGCAAUACUCAGAUGGCGACCGGCGCACGGGUGAGUAACACGUAUCCAACCUGCCGCUUACUCGGGGAUAGCCUUUCGAAAGAAAGAUUAAUACCCGAUGGUAUAAAGAGUUCGCAUGUUCUCUUUAUUAAAGAAUUUCGGUAAGCGAUGGGGAUGCGUUCCAUUAGAUAGUUGGCGGGGUAACGGCCCACCAAGUCUACGAUGGAUAGGGGUUCUGAGAGGAAGGUCCCCCACAUUGGAACUGAGACACGGUCCAAACUCCUACGGGAGGCAGCAGUGAGGAAUAUUGGUCAAUGGACGAGAGUCUGAACCAGCCAAAAGUAGCGUGAAGGAUGACUGCCCUAUGGGUUGUAAACUUCUUUUAUAAGGGAAUAAAGUGAGGGACGUGUCCCUUUUUGUAUGUACCUUAUGAAUAAGGAUCGGCUAACUCCGUGCCAGCCGCCGC